UGCAAGUCGAACGCUUUUCUUUCACCGGAGCUUGCUCCACCGAAAGAAAAAGAGUGGCGAACGGGUGAGUAACACGUGGGUAACCUGCCCAUCAGAAGGGGAUAACACUUGGAAACAGGUGCUAAUACCGUAUAACACUAUUUUCCGCAUGGAAGAAAGUUGAAAGGCGCUUUUGCGUCACUGAUGGAUGGACCCGCGGUGCAUUAGCUAGUUGGUGAGGUAACGGCUCACCAAGGCAACGAUGCAUAGCCGACCUGAGAGGGUGAUCGGCCACACUGGGACUGAGACACGGCCCAGACUCCUACGGGAGGCAGCAGUAGGGAAUCUUCGGCAAUGGACGAAAGUCUGACCGAGCAACGCCGCGUGAGUGAAGAAGGUUUUCGGAUCGUAAAACUCUGUUGUUAGAGAAGAACAAGGAUGAGAGUAAAAUGUUCAUCCCUUGACGGUAUCUAACCAGAAAGCCACGGCUAACUACGUGCCAGCAGCCGCGGUAAUACGUAGGUGGCAAGCGUUGUCCGGAUUUAUUGGGCGUAAAGCGAGCGCAGGCGGUUUCUUAAGUCUGAUGUGAAAGCCCCCGGCUCAACCGGGGAGGGUCAUUGGAAACUGGGAGACUUGAGUGCAGAAGAG
rnacentral:rRNA from 1 species